rnacentral:misc_RNA from 1 species
GAUGAAGAACGUAGCGAAAUGCGAUAAGUAAUGUGAAUUGCAGAAUUCAGUGAAUCAUCGAAUCUUUUAACGCACAUUGCGCCCGCCAGCAUUCUGGCGGGCAUGCCUGUUCGAGCGUCAUUUCAACCCUCGAGCCCCCCCGGGGGCCUCGGUGUUGGGGGACGGCACACCAGCCGCCCCCGAAAUGCAGUGGCGACCCCGCCGCAGCCUCCCCUGCGUAGUAGCACACACCUCGCACCGGAGCGCGGAGGCGGUCACGCCGUAAAACGCCCAACUUCCUUAGAGUUGACCUCGGAUCAGGUAGGAAUACCCGCUGAACUUAAGCAUAUCAAUAAGCGGAGGA